rnacentral:rRNA from 1 species
AAUGAACGCUGGCGGCGUGCCUAACACAUGCAAGUCGAGCGAGAAAGUUCCCUUCGGGGAGCGAGUACAGCUGCGCACGGGUGAGUAACGCGUGGGUAACCUACCCAGGAGUGGGGUAUGACUCGCCGAAAGGCGGGCUAAUCCCGCAUACGUCCGGAAGGCAUAUGCCUGCUGGAGAAAGAUGGCCUCUGAUUGCAAGCUAUUGCUCUUGCACGGGCCCGCGUUAGAUUAGCUAGUUGGUGAGGUAACUGCUCACCAAGGCUACGAUCUAUAGCUGGUUUGAGAGGACGACCAGCCACACUGGAACUGAGACACGGUCCAGACUCCUACGGGAGGCAGCAGUGAGGAAUAUUGCGCAAUGGGGGAAACCCUGACGCAGCGACGCCGCGUGAGUGAUGAAGGCCUUCGGGUUGUAAAGCUCUGUCAGAGGGAAAGAAAGGGGAUGCGGAAUAAUACCCGCAGCCAUUGACGGUACCCUCGGAGGAAGCACCGGCUAACUCCGUGCCAGCCGCCGCAGUAAAAC